AGUGUUAUAGCUUUGAAGCGCUAUAAAAGCGUUAUUUGUAAGCGCGUUUAAUACCCUUUAGAAUCAUUUGACAAAGAUCAAAAGCCCACAAAAAACAAGAACUAAUGAGAAUUAGGAUUGGAGUAAUAAUGGUGGCCACGACUGGACUUGAACCAGCGACCACUACCA
rnacentral:antisense_RNA from 1 species